CCCUUAGAUGUUCUGGGCCGCACGCGCGCUACACUGAUACAAGCAACAAGCGGUUCCUUGGCCGACAGGUCUGGGUAAUCUUGUGAAAUUGUAUCGUGAUAGGGCUUGACGAUUGUAAUUAUUUGUCACAAACGAGGAAUUCCUAGUAAGCGCAAGUCAUCAACUUGCACUGAUUACGUCCCUGCCCUUUGUACACACCGCCCGUCGCUCCUACCGAUUGAAUGCUAAGGCGAACACUUUGGAGUCGUGGCGCGAACUGGGCAACCUUUUCGAGCCGCCGAUGAAGUUGUGUAAGCCUUGACAUUUAGAGGAAGGAAAANUCGUAACA
rnacentral:rRNA from 1 species